rnacentral:misc_RNA from 1 species
UAGGCACUUAUAUAUGUGUGUGUGUGUAUUUAUAAUUUAUUGAAAUGACAAAAUAUAUCUAAAAAACAUAUGUAUAAAAUCAGCUCUUCGGUUCAGUUCUAGUUUGGUUUCAGUACAUUUCUAGUUCAAUUCUUGGUGAAGAACUAAAACCAAACCAAAACAGUAAAUUUAAGUUCAGUUAUGGUUUGGUUCUUACUGCUGUAACUAUUCUUUUUUGGUUCUGGCAAAAAUUGGUACGAAUAUUUGGUUCAGGUUGGAACCCAGAACCGUGCACACUACACAGCCCUACUAUUUAUAUAUCCAUCCACAACCCCAUAAAUAUCAAUAAAGAUAAGCAUAAAAAUAUUAGCUUUUCAUGUGAUGCAUCCACAAAAAUUUUAUUUUAUUACAACUGCCCUGCACUUGCACUUUGUAUAUAUUCAAACAGCCAAUACCAUCCAACUUUAGAAAAAUUUCAAUGACGAGGAUUUUUUAAUCAGAUAAAAUACAAUGAAACAAAAUAAAAGUCUCCUAAGUUCGUAUCAACCAGUGUUAUCAACGGCGAGCGAGGCGCCAGGCGAGGAUAGGCGCUCCUCUAUCGCCUCAACUGGAACGCCUGGCUAGACUUUGGGGAGGCGAU